rnacentral:rRNA from 1 species
GUGAAACCGCGAAAGGCUCAUUAAAUCAGUUAUGGUUCCUUAGAUCGUACCCACAUUUACUUGGAUAACUGUGGUAAUUCUAGAGCUAAUACAUGCAAACCGAGCUCCAACCGGAGACGGAAGGAGUGCUUUUAUUAGAUUAAAACCAAUCGGCGGCAGUAUGGCYUCGGCUGUAUUGUUCGUCGAACAAUUUGAUGGUUCUGAAUAACUUUUAGCUGAUCGCACGGUCUUGCACCGGCGACGCAUCUUUCAAAUGUCUGCCUUAUCAACUGUCGAUGGUAGGAUCUGCGCCUACCAUGGUUGUAACGGGUAACGGGGAAUCGGGGUUCGAUUCCGGAGAGGGAGCUUGAGAAACGGCUACCACAUCCAAGGAAGGCAGCAGGCGCGCAAAUUACCCAAUCCCGGCACGGGGAGGUAGUGACGAAAAAUAACGAUACGGGACUCAUCCGAGGCCCCGUAAUCGGAAUGAGUACAUUUUAAAUCCUUUAACAAGGACCAAUUGGAGGGAAAGUCCGGUGCCAGCAGCCGCGGUAAAACCGGCUCCAAUAGCGUAUAUUAAAGUUGUUGCGGUUAAAAAGCUCGUAGUUGAAUCUGUGUCCCACGCUGUCGGUUCACCGCCCGCGGUGUUUAACUGGCACGUCUCGUGGGACGUCCUACCGGUGGAUGUAUGUUUGUCUCUGUAUACUUCCCUCCAUAUUAUGCAUUCAUUUAAUCGUGUUUCUAAUAUGGCGUGUGGGGUUGCAUUGUACCUUCAUCCGGCUUGUUGUACAAGUUAUCCUGUCGCGGUGCUCUUAAUUGAGUGUCAUGGCAGGCCGGUACGUUUACUUUGAACAAAUUAGAGUGCUUAAAGCAGGCUAAAAUUUUGCCUAUAUAAUCUGUGCAUGGAAUAAUCGAACAGGACCUCGGUUCUAUUUUGUUGGUUUUCGGAACCCCGAGGUAAUGAUUAAUAGGGACAGAUGGGGGCAUUCGUACUGCGACGUUAGAGGUGAAAUUCUUGGAUCGUCGCAAGACGGACAGAAGCGAAAGCAUUUGCCAAAAAUGUUUUCAUUAAUCAAGAACGAAAGUCAGAGGUCCGAAGGCGAUCAGAUACCGCCCUAGUUCUGACCAUAAACGAUGCCAGCUAGCGAUCCGCCGAAGUUCCUCCGAUGACUCGGCGGGCAGCUUCCGGGAAACCAAAGCUUUUGGGAUCCGGGGGAAGUAUGGUUGCAAAGCUGAAACUUAAAGGAAUUGACGGAAGAGCACCACCAGGAGUGGAGCAUGCGGCUUAAUUUGACUCAACACGGGAAACCUGACCAGGCCCGGACACCGGAAGGAUUGACAGAUUGAGAGCUCUUUCUUGAUUCGGUGGAUGGUGGUGCAUGGCCGUUCUUAGUCGGUGAAGCGAUUUGUCUGGUUAAUUCCGAUAACGGACGAGGCUCCAACCUGCUAAAUAGGCGUUAAUUACCGGUAUCCUGAAGGCUCGUGUCUUUAGUUAUUGUCUUUAUACAUGUUUGCGGAUAUUCGUUUAUACGUUAUACGCAACACAUUAUAUAUGUACGAUGCUAGAGUUCACGGUUUUUACUACCGGCGUACAUAUAUAUCUUCUUAGAGGGACAGGUGGCUUCAAGCCACACGAGAUUGAGCAAUAACAGGUCUGUGAUGCCCUUAGAUGUCCUGGGCCGCACGCGCGCUACACUGAAGGAAUCAGCGUGUUUUCCCUGGCCGAGAGGUCCGGGUAACCCGAUGAAACUCCUUCGUGCUAGGGAUUGGGGCUUGCAAUUAUUCCCCAUGAACGAGGAAUUCCCAGUAAGCACGAGUCAUUAACUCGUGUUGAUUAUGUCCCUGUUCUUUGUCCACACCGCCCGUCGCUACUAUCGAUUGAAUGAUUUAGUGAGGUCUUC